UACUCAGGUUUUCCCUUCAACAUACGGAUAAAUCUUUCGCCUUUUACUAAAGAUUUCCGUGGAGGGGAACAAUUUACUGAGCUUAUAAUUAAUUUUUGAGGACUCAGUUAAAACUGGGUC